rnacentral:miRNA from 1 species
CAGCAGGGACGGUUUGGGUGUGA